rnacentral:lncRNA from 1 species
UAUAGGACUUCUGCUCCAAGUGAGGUCUGUGGACCGGCAGCACCAUUGCCAUCCGGUAGGGUGUGAGGAAUGCACAUCCUGGGCCCAGUGCUGACCAGCUGAAUGAGAAUCUGCACUUCAACAAGAUCUCCAGGUGUUCCAUAUGCCUAUUCAAGUCUGAGAAGCAGUGUUCUAGGCCAGGGGUCAGUGAACACGUUUUAUUAGAAGGCAGCAAGGCCAUUCAUUUGCCUCUUGAUUAUGCAGCUUUCUCACCCCAACAGCCGGGUUGAGUAGUUGCAAUGGAACCUAAAAUAUUGAUUCUCUGGCUCUUCACAGAAAGAGUUCGUCGACCCCUGCACUAGGCAGACAGAAAUCUCUGUAACCAACCCAUGUGGCUAGCAUUUCUGUUAGAGGGCAGUUUAGUCACAGACAUUGAAUUCGUUGUUUAAAUAUCGUCAUGGACAUCAUGGACAGGUGUGGCUGCUCUGCUUCAUAUAUAGCAAAAGGAUUGUUGAAAAUACGCAUUCUGUAGUGGAUGCCAUAAAGAGAGCUUAUGCAAAGACUCUACAAAGGACUUCAGUGACUCAUGGCGAGGAAGAGGCCUGCUAAACCAACAUUUCUGAAAUUGCUGAGAUAUUUUGAUAGGACAUCCUGGCCUGAGGCUUCUAGGCUUGCACUGCAAGAAUAUUAAAGAAGCACCUCAUUGUGUUUUUGAAAGCCUUGGAGUUUUUCCAAGUUCGUGCUUCCCAGGUCUGUCUCUGUCCCUCUGUCUGUCUCUCUGUCUCUCUCACACAUACACACACACACACAUACCACCACCAACAAAAGCCAGGCUGCAGCCUCAGACUCCAGACGCAUGCACCCAUCAUAAUUGCAGCCCUGCCAGCAGUCAUGUAACUGCUUAAAGACCUCAACAGCCUUCUGGCACUUAAAGGAAAAAAAAAAUCAUCUAAUUAAUCACAGGUGAAACAGCUUGGACUGUCUCCAAAAGCCCCUGAAUUUACUGCCAAGCUUUGAUGCUAAUUUUCUUUCUAAGUAACCCCCUAAAGAAAUUUACGAUUAGGUAAUUAAAGUAAUGAAUAAAGAGAUACUUAGGUGGAGGGAAAGGGGGAGAGGGGAAAAGGCUAUUAUUUCCAUCCUGCAAUAAACGUAUCUGGGCAUGCAUCAUUUGUGAACCCCAAC